rnacentral:rRNA from 1 species
AAUGAACGCUGGCGGCAUGCCUAACACAUGCAAGUCGAACGAAGGCCCCCUAGCUUGCUAGGUGUCCUUAGUGGCGGACGGGUGAGUAACGCUGGGGAUUUGCCCUAGAUGGGGAACAACUUUUGGAAACGAAAGCUAAUACCGCAUACGCCCUUUUGGGGAAAGGCUUCGGCCGCUCUUGGAUGAUCCCGCGUCUGAUUAGCUUGUUGGUGAGGUAACGGCUCACCAAGGCUACGAUCAGUAGCUGGUUUGAGAGGAAGACCAGCCACAUUGGGACUGAGACACGGCCCAGACUCCUACGGGAGGCAGCAGUGGGGAAUCUUGCACAAUGGGGGAAACCCUGAUGCAGCGAUGCCGCGUGAGUGAAGAAGGCCUUAGGGUUGUAAAGCACUUUCAGGAGUGAAGAAAGGCGUUGGGUGAAUAAUCUGACGUUUUGACGUUAGCUCCAGAAGAAGCACCGGCUAACUCCGUG